rnacentral:lncRNA from 1 species
UCUGUGUUAUUGGUUUUAUCAGAAAUAUAGAAUAGUAAUAACCGUUAAAAUUUGAAGUUAUAAUACUUUCAGAUGCAAAUUCACGAAAUUAGGCGUGUUAUAAUUUGCAUGCAAUUUUUGGCUCAGUAAUGGUUUAAUGGGUUGUAUCAGGCGAUUUAACUGGUGUAUCGGCUGGUUAACUAGUUCAACCGUCCCUUUUGAACCGUUUUUUAAAACAUGGAAGUAUUGUCUAUCAAUGUUAUAUGUUUUACACGUUUGGUAGUUUAUUCCAAAUUGCCAAUAUCCCAUCGUCUUUCGACCAUACCUCUAGUUUAGAUAUAUGUAAUGUUUUAAAAUACGGUUUUAUACCGUACCGGAUUGGACUUAAAACGGUUUAAUUAGGUUUAUCAUGUGGUUCAACCGGAUGCACCCCUGCAGUUUAACUGGGUGUACUAGAUGGUUCAAUAUGUUAGAAUAUGUCAAUGUCAAUGUCAAUGUUUAACCUCUUAUUACAACCCCUUUCCUGAUUGUCACAAAUUUACAUUCGCCUGUCUAUUUCUAGGUAGCGAAACUCUCUUUUCAAUCAAUAAUUAUCACCGAUGAUUUACAAACCAUUGGGGCGAAAUAACGCAUAUUCGUAAAACCCAAAUGUAAAUCGUUGAAAAUCAAGCCGACUUCGUGAUCACAAUGGUUGAGCCGCCCUUUAUUGGGCGGAUCCUGUUGACGGAGAUGGCGUUGUCACAUCCUAUCGCCUUGGGGAGCAGAGUCUCUGCUAUGAGCUCUUGGGACUGGCCGUGAGAAAAACAUUUUUAAUGUUGUUU